UACAGAGGGGGCAAGCGUUAUUCGGAAUUAUUGGGCGUAAAGGGCGCGUAGGCGGCUUUGCAAGUGGCGGGUGAAAUCCCUCGGCUUAACCGAGGAACUGCCUGCCAGACUGUGAGGCUUGAGACCGGGAGAGGUGAGUGGAAUUCCCAGUGUAGCGGUGAAAUGCGUAGAUAUUGGGAGGAACACCAGUGGCGAAGGCGGCUCACUGGACCGGAACUGACGCUGAGGCGCGAAAGCGUGGGGAGCAACAGGG
rnacentral:rRNA from 1 species